rnacentral:rRNA from 1 species
GAUGAACGCUGGCGGCGUGCCUAAUACAUGCAAGUCGAGCGAACGGACGAGAAGCUUGCUUCUCUGAUGUUAGCGGCGGACGGGUGAGUAACACGUGGAUAACCUACCUAUAAGACUGGGAUAACUUCGGGAAACCGGAGCUAAUACCGGAUAAUAUUUUGAACCGCAUGGUUCAAAAUUUAAAGACGGUCUUGCUGUCACUUAUAGAUGGAUCCGCGCUGCAUUAGCUAGUUGGUAAGGUAACGGCUUACCAAGGCAACGAUGCAUAGCCGACCUGAGAGGGUGAUCGGCCACACUGGAACUGAGACACGGUCCAGACUCCUACGGGAGGCAGCAGUGGGGAAUCUUCCGCAAUGGGCGAAAGCAUGACGGAGCAACGCCGCGUGAGUGAUGAAGGUCUUCGGAUCGUAAAACUCUGUUAUUAGGGAAGAACAUAUGUGUAAGUAACUGUGCACAUCUUGACGGUACCUAAUCAGAAAGCCACGGCUAACUACGUG